AGCAGUCGCCGCGGGAAUACGGAGGGUGCAAGCGUUAAUCGGAAUUACUGGGCGUAAAGCGCACGCAGGCGGUCUGACAAGUCAGAUGUGAAAUCCCCGGGCUUAACCUGGGAACUGCAUUUGAAACUGUCAGGCUGGAGUCUUGUAGAGGGGGGUGGAAUUCCAGGUGUAGCGGUGAAAUGCGUAGAGAUCUGGAGGAAUACCGGUGGCGAAGGCGGCCCCCUGGACAAAGACUGACGCUCAGGUGCGAAAGCGUGGGGAGCAAACAGGAUUAGAUACCCGAGUAGUCCCUGUCUCUUAUAC
rnacentral:rRNA from 1 species